AAAAGCAGAGCCGAAUCAUCCAAACAAACUCUUUGUUGAUGAAGUCCUAACAGUUCAAAGGUCACUGAAGAAUAAAGGACUGAUUGUUCCUGAGGAAGAAAUUCAAUUAGCAUGGAGUCACGCAUACAGGCUACACUUCUUGCAACAAACACAACAGAAAGCUCACAAUUGUCAGAAAGGAUUUCUGUUGAGACAGCAUAGC